UAUUAUAAGUAACUUCCGAGUGUCAGGAAGUAGGAGAGGGAAGCAAAAAGCAUAUUCAAAAAUGAGAACGGGAUCUCUCUCAGCAGGAAGCCCUCUGAGACCGGUGACCUGGAAGCAGCUCUGCUAGUAAGUGUCGGUAGGACACCGGAUAACAGUGAGACUUUCAGAGA